rnacentral:tRNA from 1 species
UGGGGAUUAGUGUAACGGUAGCACAACUGACUCUGGAUCAGUUAGUUAAGGUUCGAAUCCUUAAUCCCCAG